rfam:Gossypium raimondii Chr05_contig_1361, whole genome shotgun sequence.
GAUUAAAAUCUCCAUCUAUUUUUACUGUUAAAAACCAGCAUGAUUGACGGACUAACCAAGCAAUUACACUUAAAGUGCCAUGUAUACGUCAUGUCGAUGUACAAGGACUUGUUUUUAAUAGUAUAAACGAAUAAAAUUUUAGCA